UACAGAGGUCUCAAGCGUUGUUCGGAUUCAUUGGGCGUAAAGGGUGCGUAGGCGGCGCGGUAGGUCGGGUGUGAAAUCUCGGAGCUUAACUCCGAAACUGCAUUCGAUACUGCCGGUGCUUGAGGACUGGAGAGGAGACUGGAAUUUACGGUGUAGCGGUGAAAUGCGUAGAUAUCGUAAGGAAGACCAGUGGCGAAGGCGGGUCUCUGGACAGUUCCUGACA
rnacentral:rRNA from 1 species